CCUAUUUCUAAAAACUGGUGUCAUGGGGGGAAAAUGGGAGCUGAGGGCGUACUUCGUUUUGGUUUGGUCCCAUAUUUGUAUGGAGUUGAGUAUGGCUGGAUUCGCUGUUCUUAAUAUGGCUCUUUGCGUUCUGGGUGCCCAUAUGAAAAAUUGUGGGAGAUCCUGACCCGUCAUCAGUGACUCCAGAUCUACCCAUCGUCUCCUGUCUGGAGGCGUGUGCCACUGUAUCACCUGCAUCAGCUGUG